rnacentral:lncRNA from 1 species
AAUGGGCAGAGCUUGUUGCUAUGAUAUUUGUUAGACAUGACAAUGGAUGACAGCAUUCAAAGUGCCUCUCAUUAUGGAUGCAAUAAUAUUUUCAAAAUAAUAAAUGAAAAUAAUUUGAUCACUUCGCCCUCUCAUGAUAACAGUUGGAUAUAUUUUUAAAAUUUUAAAUAGAUAAAAAAUAAAAUUUUAAAUAUUUUAAAAAAUUAAACAAAAUAUUUAUAUAGAUUUUUUUACGGUACCUUAGCCUAUAUUAUAGAGCUUAUAAUUGCAAAAUUAAUUAGUCCUAUUCCCGCCGGACAAGUACCAUAUAAGCGCUACGUCAGUGACUGUGGAAGGUUAAGUUGAACACGGUGAAAUGGUUCAUCAUGUUUAAAUACGGUAAAUUAUUUAUUAUAUUUGGACGGACUGAAUAGUAGCUAACCGGCAAUACAAAAAGAACUCGAACAGUCAUGCAGUGUAUUUUAGUUUAAACACGAUAAAUCAUGUUUAACUUAUACCAGUCAACAGUUGAUGUAACGUUUGCGUUACGAAAAUAGAACUAAUUUUAUAAUUAUAAAUUUUAUAAAAUUAUUUAUGAAUAAAAUUUUGUGAGGGGCUAAAUACAAAAAAGAGCCCUAUAUUUUAUGAUCCAG